UUUUUUUUUUUUUUUACCUGUCAGCGCUGAGGGCAGUGAGAGUGAACACGGAAACCCCCACCGAGGUGAGCUGGAUGGCCGGAAUGAGUUUGCAGCCCAGUUUGCCGAACACCCAUUCAUCAAAGAAGUAACGGGAGGCGUCCACUGGAACGCAGCUUUGCUCUUCUCUCCACUGAUCCGGUUGUACAACUGCGUAGAACUGAAGGGUGGCUGAAUCUGUUUUCAUUCUGUGUGCCCAUAUACAUCCAUCCUCAAGCGACUCCAAGCAGGAGGAGCCACACAGGAAGUUUGUGAGCCUCUGAGGACUGGAGAUCUGAGUUGGCAGGUCCCCAGUGCUGAGACACUGAAUUUAGCAAGCCAGCCAGGGACAAAGACUCCUCUCCACUCUUUUCUAUUAUCCUCUGACUACCCCCACCCCAAGUCUGGAAACUCUUUCCUAUAGUUGAUGCAUCUUUAAACUUAUAUUUUAUUGUGAUUCAGCAUGGGUAAAGUGCACAUCUCUUAGAUGUAUGCUUUACUAUCAGGACAGUCUAGUAGAAACCACCAUUAUGCCUGCUUUAGCCUUAGUUGGCUCUCCCAACUAAAAACUUUUCAGAAUAAAAUCAUCCUCUGACCUCGUCCCUCAUACAUCUGUGGGAAGUACACCUGCUUUGAGACGAGCAGAUGUGUUAUUUUUGGCUAUCUAGAAACAGAUUGUUACCUAUCCAUUCUCAUGUUCACUAACAUUUGCAAGUUUCACAACUUUAGCUGAUUUAAAUGAAAUGUCUAUGAACAUCUUUGCACAUGGUUUCUGGUGCACACACUUGUAUAAAUAUCAGGCUUGAAUUUGCUAGUCUCAGAGCUAAUGUACAUGUCGUAAAACUUGUUUUUAAAGAUGAAUCAGCAACUUGUUUUUCCUUUCAUAUUAGUGUGAUGUUAACACUAUCUGCAUGUGUAUGUAUAUACAUAUGUGUGUGUGUGUAUACAUAUAUGCCUAUAGUUAAUAAUGUCAGUCAGACACUCAAAUCUAAUAUAUUCAUUUUCUGAAGUGUACUGUUAUAUGUAACCCAGGGUGGUCUUGAGUUCUUGUGCUCAAGUAAUUGAUUCUCUUGCUUCAUUUUCAGGAAUUUGGAACUAUAGAACCUAACCCUGCAACCAAAUUGACAGUUUAAUAAUCUGUCAAUAGGAAUAACAUGAUUUUCCGAGUAACCCCCACACUGGAAUUUUACAACGAAAAGACUGCUCAGGGCCAGUGAACUAGCUUAGUGCAGAAAGCAGCUGUAGUGCAAGACAGACAGACUGAAGUCAUCCCUUGACCCGUGUAAGGAAUUGGAGGAGAAAAGCAACCGGGAUGUACCACUUCUGACUUCCACAGCACACCUGACAAAACAAGAACAAC
rnacentral:lncRNA from 1 species